CAGCAGCCGCGGUAAUACGAGGGGGGCAAGCGUUGUUCGGAAUUAUUGGGCGUAAAGGGUGCGUAGGCGGUUUGAUAAGUCAUCUGCGAAAUCUCUGGGCUCAACCCAGAGUCUGCAGGCGAAACUGACGAGCUUGAGUAUUGGAGAGGUGAGUGGAAUUUCCGGUGUAGCGGUGAAAUGCGUAGAUAUCGGAAGGAACACCUGUGGCGAAAGCGGCUCACUGGACAAUUACUGACGCUGAUGCACGAAAGCUAGGGGAGCAAACAGGAUUAGAUACCCCCGUAGUCCCUGUCUCUUAUAC
rnacentral:rRNA from 1 species